rnacentral:lncRNA from 10 species
GCUACUCGGGAGGCUGAGGCAAGAGAAUCACUUGAACCUGGGAGGUGGAGGUUGCAGUGAGCCGAGAUCGCCCUACUGCACGCCAGCCUGGCAACAGAGUGAGACUCCAUCCCAAACAAAGAAACAUUAUGGCCCAUCAAUAGAAGACUCAGUAAAUAAAUUACAGUACACACAUACACUGAAAUAAUAGGUUGACAUUUAUUGUGUCCUUACAUUUACCCCACACACUGUUCUAAAUGACUUUCAUUGAUUUACUCUCACCAUAAUAGUAUAAGAAAGGUGAAACUAUGAUCCUUAUUUUACAAAAAGCAUAUAUAGUAGAUCCAUUGAUACAGCCUCCUUACUUUUUUUUUUUUUUGCUGAGAUGGAGUCUUGCUGUGUUGCUCAGGCCGGAGUACAGUAGUGCGGUCUCAGCUUACUGCAACUUCCGCCUCCUGGGUUCAAGCAAUUCUCUGCCUCAGACUCCCGAGUAGUUGGGAUUACAGGCGCCUGCCACUACGCCCAGCUAAUUUUUGUAUUUUUAGUAGAGAUGGGUUUUCACCAUGUUGGCCAGACUGGUCGUGAACUCCUGACCUCGUCAUCCAUCCACCUCGGCCUCCCAAAGUGCUGGGACUACAGGCGUGAGCCACCACACCCAGCUGUUUUUCUUUUGUUUGAGAUGGAGUCUCGCUCUGUUACCCAGGCUGGAGUGCAGUGGCACAAUCUCGGCUCACUGCAACUUCCACUUCCCUGGCUCAGGUGAUUCUUGUGCCUCAGCCUCUCAAGUAGCUGGGAUUACAGGCGUGAACCACCGCGCCUGGCCCCUCCUUGCUUUUUAUUUUUUUUGAGGCAGAGUGUCACUCUGUCACCUCAGCUGGAGUGCAAUGGCACGAUCUCAGCCCACUGCAUCCUCUGCCCCCUCGUUUCAAGCAAUUCUCCUGCCUCAGCCUCUCGAGUAGCUGGGAUUACAGGUGUGCACCACCACAUCUGGCUAAUUUUUUUUAUUAUUAUUAUACUUUAAGUUCUAGGGUACAUGUGCACAAUGUGCAGGUUUGUUACAUAUGUAUACAUGUGUCAUAUUGGUGUGCUGCACCCAUUAACUCGUCAUUUACAUUAGGUAUAUCUCCUAAUGCUAUCCCUCCCCAUGACCAGCCCCGCUGUUUGAUGUUCCCCACCCUGUGUCCAAGUGUUCUCAUUGUUCAAUUCCCACCUAUGAGUGAGAACAUUCGGUGUUUGGUUUCCUAUCCUUGCGAUAGUUUGCUGAGAAUGAUGGUUUCCAGCUUCAUCCAUGUCCCUACAAAGGACAUGAACUCAUCCUUUUUUAUGGCUGCAUAGUAUUCCAUGGUGUAUAUGUGCCACAUUUUCUUAAUCCAGUCUAUCACUAAUGGACAUUUGGGUUGGUUCCAAGUCUUUGCUAUUGUGAAUAGUGCCGCAAUAAACAUAUGUGUGCACGUGUCUUUAUAGUAGCAUGAUUCAUAAUCCUUUGGGUAUAUACCCAGUAAUGGGAUCGCUGGGUCAAAUCAUAUUUCUAGUUCUAGAUCCUUGAGGAAUUGCCACACUGUCUUCCACAAUGGUUGAACUAGUUUAUACUCCCACCAACAGUGUAAAAGAGUUCCUAUUUCUCCACAUCCUCUCCAGCAUCUGUUGUUUCCUGACUUUUUAAUGAUCGCCAUUCUAACUGGUGUGAGAUGGUAUCUCAUUGUGGUUUUGAUUUGCAUUUCUCUGAUGGCCAGUGGUGAUGAGCAUUUUUUCAUGUGUCUGUUGGCUGCAUAAAUGUCUUCUUUUGAGAAGCGUCUGUUCAUAUCCUUCACCCACUUUUUGAUGGGGUUGUUUGAUUUUUUCUUGUAAAUUUGUUUAAGUUCUUUGUAGAUUCCGAAUAUUAGCCCUUUGUCAGAUGGGUAGAUUGCAAAAAUUUUCUCCCAUUCUGUAAGUUGCCUGUUCACUCUGAUGGUAGUUUCUUUUGCUGUGCAGAAGUUCUUUAGUUUAAUUAAAUCCCAUUUGUCUAUUUUGGGCUUUUGUUGCCACUGCUUUUGGUGUUUUAGUCAUGAAGUCCUUGCCCACGCCUAUGUCCUGAAUGGUAUUGCCUAGGUUUUCUUCUAGGGUUUUUAUGGUUUUAGGUCUAACAUUUAAGUCUUUAAUCCAUCUUGAAUUAAUUUUUGUAUAAGGUGUAAGGAAGGGAUGCAGUUUCAGCUUUCUACAUAUAUAUCCGGCUAAUUUUUGUAUUUUUAGUAGAGACAGGCUUUCGCCAUGUUGACCAGGCUGGUCUCGAACUCCUAACCUCAGGUGAUCUGCCCGCCUUGGCCUCCCAAAGUGCUGGGAUUACAGGCGUGAGCCACCGCGCCCGGCCCAAAACAGACGUUUUGUUUUGUUUUUCUGAGAGAGAGUCUCAAUCUAUCACCCGGGCUGGAGUGCAGUGAUGCGAUCUCAGCUCACUGCAACCUCCGCCUCCUGGGUUCAAGCAAUUCUCAUGCCUCAGCCUCCUGAGUAGCUGGGAUUACAGGCGCCCACCACCAUGCCCAGCUAAUUUUUGUAUUUUUAGUAGAGAUGGGGUUUCACCAUAUUGUCCAGGCUGGUCUUGAACACCUGACCUCAGAUGAUACACCCACUUCAGCCUCUCCAAGUGCUGGGAUUACAUGCGUGAGCCACCACACCCAGCCCAGAACAGACAUUUUAUAAAAUAAGACAUUUAAAUCUCAACAGGCAUAUAAAAAGAUGCUUAACUUCACUGAUCAUCAGAGAAAUGCAAAUCGAAACUACAAUGAGGCCAGGCAUGGUGGCUCAUGCCUUUAAUCUCAGCACUUUGGGAGGCCGAGGCAGGUGGAUCACUUGAGGUCAGGAGUUCAAGACCAGCCUGGCCAACAUGGUGAAACCUCGUCUCUACUAAAAAUACAAAUAUUAGCAGGGCACAGUGGUGCACACCUGUAAUCCCAGCUACUCAGGAGGAUGAAACAGGAGAAUCGCUUGAACCCGGGAGGCGGAUUGCGCCACUGCACUCCAGCCUGGGCAACAGAGUGAGACUCUAUCUCAAAAUAAAUAAAUAAAUAAAAUAAAAUAAAAUUACAAUGAGAUACCAUCUCACCCCAGUUAAAAUGGUUUUUAUCCAAAAGACAGGCAAUAACAAAUGCUGGCAAGGAUGUGGAGAAUAGGGAACCCUCAUACACUUUUGGUGGGAAUAUAAAUUAGUACAACCACUAUGGAGAACAAUUUGGAGGUUCCUAAAGAAAACCUAAAAAUAUAGCCAGGUGAGGUGGCUCAUGCCUGGAGGCUAAGGCAGGAAGAUCACUUGAGUCCAAGAUUCCAGGAGUUUGAGUCCAGGCUGGGCAACACAGUGAGACCUCAUCUGUACAAAAUAUAAAGAAAAUCAGCUAGGAGUAGUGAUGCACACCUGUAGUCCCAGGUACUUGGGAGGCUGAGGUGUGAGGAUCACUUGAGCCUGGGAAAUAAAGGCUGCAGUGAACUGUGAUUACACCACUGCACUCCAGCCUGGGCAAGAGAGUCAGACCUUGUUGAAAAGGGAGGAGAGGGGAGGGGAAGGGAAGGGAGGGAAGGUGUAGGGGAAAAGAGGGGUGAGGGGAGGAGGGGGGAAGGAAGGGGAGGGGAAGAAAAGGGGAAGGGAGGAAAAGGGGAGGGGAGGGAAGGAAAGGGGAGGGGAGGGGGGAGAGGAGGAAAAGGGGAGGGAGGAGGGGAAGGAAGGGGAGGGGAAGAGAGGGGAGUGGGAGGGGAGGGGAGAGGGAGGGGAGGAAAGAAAAGAAAAAGCCAAAAAUAAAGCUACCAAUCCCCCUCCUAGGUAUAUACCCCAAAGAAAGGAAAUCAGUAUGUUGAAGAGACAUCUGCACUCCCAUGUUUACUGCUGCACUAUUCACAAUAGCUAAAAUUUGGAAGCAGCCUAAGUGUUCAUCAACAUAUAAAUGGAUAAAGAAAAUGUGGCACAGAUACACAAUGGAGAACUAUUAAGUCAUAAAAAAGAAUGAGGCCGGGUACAGUGACUCACGCCUGUAAUUUCAGCACUUUGGGAGGCCGAGGGGCAGAUCACUUGAGGCCAGGGGUUGAAGACCAGCCUAGCCAACAUGAUGAAUCCCUGUCUCUGUUUAAAAAAAUACUAAAAAUACAAAAAUUAACCGGGUGUGGUGGCGCAUACCUGUAAUCCCAGCUACUUGGGAGGCUGAGGCAUGAGAAUCGCUUGAACCUGGGAGGCAGAGGUUGCAGUGAGCCAAGAUUGUGCCACUGCACUCCAGACUGGGUGACAGAGUGAGACUCUGUCUCAAAAAAAAAAAAAAAAAAAAAGAGAGAGAGGGAUCCUGUCAUUUGCAACAACAUGGAUGGAACUGAAGGUCAUUAUGUUAAGUGAAAUAAGCCAGGCACAGAAAGACAAACUUCCCAUGUUCUCACUUAUUUUGUAGGAGCUAAAAAUUAAAAUAAUUGAACUCAUGGAGAUAAAGAGUAGAAGGAUGGUAACCAGAGGAUGGGAAGGGUAGUGGGGGGUGAGGGAGAAGUGGGGAUGGUUAAUGGGUACAGAAAAAUAGAAAGAAUGAAUAAGAGCCAGGUGCAAUGGCUCAUGCCUAUAAUCCUUGCACUUUGGGAGGCCAAGGCAAGUGGAUGGCUUGAGCUCAGGAAUUUGAGACCAGCCUAGGCAACAUGGCAAGACUCUGUCUCUACUAAAAAUACAAAAAAGAUCACUUGAGCCUGGGAGGCAGGGGUUGCAGUGAGCUGAGAUCACGCCACUGCACUCCAGCCUGGGUGACAGAGUGAGACCCUGUCUCAAAUUAGAAAAAAAAAAAAGAAUGAGUAAGGUGUAUUUGCUAGCACAACAGGGUGACUAUAGUACAAAAUAAUUUAAUUGUACAUUUCAAAAUAAUUAAGAAUAUAAUUGGAUUGUUUGUAACACAAAGGAUAAAUGCCUGGGAUGGAUACCCCAUUUACCUUGAUGUGAUUAUUAUGCGUUGCAUGCCUGUAUGAAAAUAUCUCAUGUGACCCAUAAAUAUAUACAUCUACUAUGUGAUGUACCCACAAAAAAGAAAAAGAGAAAGAAAAAAAAUAGCAUAAGUUUCAGGUCUCUGUCUAGAAAGCUUAUCCUCCCCUCCCAGCACCUUCUUCACCAGACAUAUCUGAUUCAUCCUUAAGGUCUCAGCUCAAAAGUCACUUCCCCAGCAAGAUCUUCCUUGAUUACUCUCUAAACUGAACUGCACUUUCUGAGACUCAUAGCACCCUUUUAUUCGUCAGAGAGCUGAUCACAAUUUGUAAUUAUGCACUUGUUUCUACAUUCAUUGGCCUAGUGUUUGUGUGCCUUACUAGAUUGUAAGCUUCAGGAUGGCAGGAACCACAUCUGUCCUGUUGGCCCCUGAACUCCCAGCACCUAGAACCUAGAACAUAGUAGGCAAUCCCUUGAUAAAUGUGUUGAAUGACUGAAUCAAGGAAGAUGGCCACUUUAUCUAUGAGACAUAUCUUACCAUUUUCCCCUCUCUUUUGUUGUAUUUAUUUGGGUUUAAGAAUAGACAUACUUCCAAUGCUGGAGUUGGAAUUUUAUAACCUUCUCCACCAAACAUUUUUAUUUCUAAAAUCCAAAGCUCCUCUCAAACAUUGCUCCAAAAUUUCUACUGCCUAUAAAAGAGACUUGUGUUGUGCUAUAAAGAUGAUAUGAGGCUGGGCGUGGUGGCUCACGCCUGUAAUCCCAGCACUUUGGGAGGCUGAGGCGGGUGGAUCACGAGGUCAGGAGUUCGAGACCAGCCUGACCAAUGUGGUGAAACCCCAUCUCUACUAAAAAUACAAAAAUUAGCUGGGCGUGGUGGCGCGUGCCUGUAAUCCCAGCUACUCAGGAGACUGAGGCAGGAGAAUUGCUUGAACCCGGGAGGCGGAGGUUGUAGUGAGCCGAGAUUGCACCAUUGCAAUCCAGCCUGGGCUACAGAGCAAGACUCCAUCUCAAAAAAAAAAAAAAGAUGAUUUGGCUAUAAAAGAUUCACCCCACCCUGCCAAAAGAAAGAAAGGUGGGCACAGUGGUGCACGUCUGUAGCCCCAGACACUCAGGAGGCCGAGAUGGGAGGAUUGCUUGAGCCCAGGUGUUCAAGACCAGCCUGGGCAAUGUAGUUGAGAUCCCAUCUCUAAAAAAUAUCUAUCUGUAUAGAGUGCAAUGGUAUAAUUAUAGCUAAUUGCAGCUCUAACUCCUGGCCAUAGGAGAUCCUCCUACCUCAGCCUUCCAAGCAGCUAGGACUACAGGCACCUAUCACCAUGCCCAACUAAUUUUUAAAUUUUUUGUAGAGACAAGGUCUCGCUCUGUUGGCCAGGCUGGUCUGGAACUCCUGGCCUCAAGAAAUCCUCCUGCCUUGGCCUCCCAAAGCACUGGGAUUAUAGGUGUGAACCACCAUGCCCAGUCUCAUUUCUUUAUUAGAAAGGACAGCUAGGGUGAUUGCCUUUCCCUUUUCCAAUGUACAAAGUUAGUUUUUAAGCUAUCCUUUUAAUCACGUACACAGAACUAAAUAUAGUUCUUGUUCCUAAAAGUCUGCAGUAUAUCCAAGCACCUGUUAGCAGCUUGCCACACACCUCCAUUUAGCUUUCUCAGCAAGGUCACUCCUCUGUGCAGCAGCAGAGAGGAGGGGCUCUCCUCCAGGGUGCAUUCUCAUUCCACCUUAGUAUUUCUUCAUUCACUCAACUAAAAGUUAUUGACGUAACAAGUGCCAAGCAUAAUGCCAGGCACUGGGGACCUAAAGAUGAGGAAGACCAGGUUCCUGACCUCAUGGAACUUGCUAGCUAAUAGAAGGAGUAUGUAGUAAAGAACUUAACCUUGCAAAGAGUGUUCUGGCCUUUGCCCUUCGCUCCUGGGAGGUAACCUCUAAGCCCUUGGAAUGUCUUGCCUGAUAAAAGUAUCUUUGUUUACCAGGAGGCAGACCUUAGGCCACACUGGACAGUCUAACAAUGUGAUUUAGGCAGAAGUCUUUGGGGCGUACCAGAUAGUUUAGCAAUGUGAUGAGGGAGGAGGGAAGACUUUGGAUCACACUUUAUCAGGUAGACUUAUGGAGGGGCUGGAGACUGAGGUCAGUCACAUGGGCAGACAAUCAGGUCCACAUGACUGAGCCCCAAUAAAAAUUUUAGACAUCAUUCCAGCCAGACGCGGUGGCUCAUGCCUGUAAUCUUGAUAUUUUUGAAUGCUAGCUUGAAGGACCUAUUUCAGAGUGCCCCUUACAUUUUUUUUUUUUCUUUUUGAGACGGAGUCUUGCUAUGUCGCCCAGGCUGGAGUGCAGUGGCCUGAUCUCAGCUCACCGCAAGCUCUGCCUCCCAGGUUCACGCCAUUCUCCUGCCUCAACCUCCCGAGUAGCUGGGACUACAGGCGCCCGCUACCACGCCUGGCCAAUUUUUUGUAUUUUUAGUAGAGAUGGGUUUUCACCGUGUUAGCCAGGAUGGUCUCGAUCUCCUGACCUCGUGAUCCGCCCGCCUCGGCCUCCCAGAGUGCUGGGAUUACAGGCAUAAGCCACCGCGCCUGGCCUCCACCUGGUCAUAUUUCUUUAGAGAUUAUCAAACUACCUCUUGCCACCUGUUUUAAAGAUGGUUGUGUUGGCUGGGCAUGGUGGCUCAUAACUCAAGAUGGGCCAAUCACAUUCUCCUCCCACCUCAGCUCCCAAGUAGCUGGGACUACAGCCAGCACGCCUGGCUAUUUUUGUAUUUUUUGUAGAGACGGGGUUUCGCCAUGUAGCCCGGGCUGGUCUUGAACUCCUGGGCUCAAGUGAUCCACCCAUCUUGGCUUCCUAGAGUGUGGGAUUACAGACGUGAGCCAUCACACGGUCCCUAACUGAUACUAUUGCCAUGGCCUACCUUGCUUGCCUUGGCAGGAGGGCCAGCUUGGCAUGAGUUAGCAAAGAACCACUAUUUGAGAUCACCUAUUUUAUCUCAAGUACUGCUGGAACCCAUGCACCUAGAAAAGACCAGGGUUUUCAACCAGUAGAUCCAGAAUAAGCAGUCUUAUUGAAUCAAAGGAUAUAUCAGCCAAAAUAAUCAACAAGCACAACUUGAUAUUUUUUAAUGGUAGCUUGAAGGACCUAUCUCAGAGUGCCCCUUACAUUUUUAACUAAGAAGCCAGUAUUAUCUAUUGAUCACUGAAUAGCAGUGUGUCCCCUGGUCGUAUUUCUCUCACUCUCUCUGUCUUUUUUUGUUGUUACAAAAACUGCCAGCUCUCACAGUGAUUUUACCACACCUAUGUAUUUACAAUCUUUUUUUUUUUUUAUUUUUUAUUUUUAUUUUUUUUAGACUGAGUCUCACUCUGUCGCCCAGGCUGGAGUGCAAUGGCGUGAUCUCGGCUCACUGCAACCUCUGUCUCCUGGGUUCAAGCGAUUCUCCUGCCUUAGCCUCCUGAGUAGCUGGGACUACAGGCGUGUGCCACCACACUCAGCUAAUUUUUUGUAUUUUUAGUAGAGACGGGGUUUCACCAUGUUAACCAAGAUGCUCUUGAUCUCCUGACCUUGUGCUCCUCCCGCCUUGGUCUCCCAAAGUGCUGGGAUUACAGGCGUGAGCCACCGCGCCCGGCCUACAGUCUGAGAAAAGUCAUGCUGAGUUCCAGUGGCUGCACUGGAAGAGUUUGUGUCACCCUAAUCCACUUGUGUUUGGCAGUGAUUUAUCCACAUUUGCUAUUUCUCCACUUGGUCAUUUCUCAUUAAUGUCUAAACCUACUGAAACCUGACUUCUGUUCCUGCCACUUCAAGUCCUCUCAAAGGACUACUGGUCUCCUGUUUUCCAAAUCUGAGGGACAUUUCCCCAGCUUUUUCUUACCUGACUUCAGCUGCCAUCUAUGUGCUGAUACCUCCAGACCUGUAUCUAUCUACUUGCCAUUCAUCUCCAGUCACCUUAAUACUCAGCAUGUCCCAAACUGAACUCAAUACCUUUCCUCCUCAAUCCCCCUCAACUGUGCUUUUCCUGGGAUCCUUGUCCUUGUUAGUGGCACUCAGUCACCCAUAUUAGGAAUCUAGGAAUCAUCACAAUGAUGAUUCCAUUUCUUAUAUUUCACAGCUAGUGAGUCACCAUGUCCUUUAAUUCCCACCUCUCUCUUCAUUUCCUCUACAACCUUAAUUCAGGCCUUCAUCAUCUCUCUCAUAGGGUACUGCCAGAUCCUCCUACCUAGUUUCCCUGCCACUAGUCUUUUCCCCUUUGAAUCCAUCCCUGCCAUAGCAGAGUGAUCCUUUCUAAAAAUAUAGGUUUGAUCAUGUUACUUCAAGGAUGUACCAUUGACUGCAAGAUACAUGUGAAGCUUCUCAUCCUGCCAUGCAAGUUCAUUCAUGACCUGACCUUAGUAUAUCUCUCCAGCCUCAUAAAUUACCUUGCCUCCUUUGCUGCCUACUUUUCAGUGAUGCUGUUUUACAGUUCUGUGUAUAAAUGCAUCUGUUUCAUACUUUUCCCCUACACCAUCCCCGCUCACUCUGACUUCAUUCACCUGGUGGAUAUACCUAUUCGUCUUUGAAGGACUCCAUUCAAAAGACACCUGUUUGAACAUUUUCCUCUGCAGGUAGAGUAGCCAUUCUUUGUGCCCUCCCCAUCCAUACAGCCAGCUCUCACAGUGAUUAUAAUAUUUUAUCACACUUAUGUAUUUACAUAUAUAUUUCCCAAACUCAGGGAAUAGUCCACAGACUACCGUUACUUUGGAUACCAGUUGCAAGUUUGGGGAACCCUAAGACUACCCUCUGGUUAUAUAAUUCGCCACAAGGACUCACAGACCUCAUUGAAAGCUGUUAUAGUCUCUGGGCGCAGUGGCUCACCCCUGUAAUCCCAGCUACUCAGGAGGGUGAGGCAGGAGAAUCGUCUGAACUGGGGAGGCGGAGGUUGCAGUGAGCCGAGACUGUGCCACUGCACUCCAGCCUGGGCAACACAGCAAGACUCUAUCCCAAAAUAAAAAAAAAAAAAUCAAGUUGUGAUUGUUGAUAAUUUUGGCUGAUAUAUCCUUUGAUUCAUGCAGCUGUCCCCAGAGUGUGUGUGCCUGUAGUGCCUGUGUGCGCCCUUUGGGGAAGUAGUCCUUCCAGACCUGAUUAUUUCUGAACAGAGUAUGGCCAAGUCACUAUUGACACUAGCAUGCAUAGCUUCUGAACUGAUAUGGUUGGCUGCUGAUAGCACAGACUAGAGCACUCAGAAAAUUAUCAAACAGAGACUAAAUGUUUAGGCACUUAAAACAUGCUCCUUGGCAAGAGGAACACAAUGUUCCUAUUACAGAAUUGACCUAAAUUCAGGAAAGAGCUUAUUGAUGUAGGCAAAUGCUUGAAUCUGCAGCCAGCAGGAUCAUCAAUGGAUGAGGGUGGGAGCGGGGAGUCUUCCAAUUUUACAAGGUCAGCUUGAGCAACUCUCUAAGAGCCGACACUAAGACUAGUUCCACUGGAUGUACUGAAGUUGUAUAAUCAGGCUCCAAAUAACUACUACCUCUGCCCAAAUCUGUUCCCAGAACUAAUCAACAUGCAGGGACCACUGCAUGUCAGACAAGAGCUGACCUGGAUCCCUGUGAAAAUCUGUCCACAGGACACUAGUGCUGCUGGAGGGAAUGGUGAAGUACUUGUAUCCAUGACAGAGUCCUAGAAAGAUGGGAAGCAAUAUGGGAGCUGACUGAAGCCACAGGAAGUGGGAUCCAUUUCCUGAAUACAAAGCAGAAACUAAUUAGUCAGUUUCCAACACAAUCUUCCAUUCUCACAGCUGCCAAAGACCUCCAGUUCACAAAUCUCAAGAGACCUUGCCUGCUCAAAGUUCUUUCUUAGCUCCUUUCAUCCAUGACACAAAAUCUAAAACCUGCUAUCUCUCUCCAGCCUCUUCUCCCAAACUGUCCUGGUGGGCUUCUUUUCUCACAGGAGUGUGAGCUCCUCAAGGGCAGGGACUAAGUACUGUCCACCUCCAUAACCCCUCUACUUGGCAGGGGCCUAGGACAAGCUUAUCUCCUGGUAGGCACAAAUGUUUGCUGAAGGAGUGAAUGAACUACAUUUGCAUUUUAUCUCUGGCAAUGUCUAAACCAAAGAAAAUCACACUUGUCUUCUCAGAAGAGGGAACAUAUUCAAAUACCCAGAAUUGCAGUUCCUGGUAAAACCUUUCGGCGGCAGCAGCAACUGGAAACUCAGCAGAAUCUUUGAGUACUAAAAAGAGUGAAAUGGGCCAAGACUUGAACAGCCAUGGUUGAAGUAGCCCAGGGGACUGAGAUGGGAAGGGGAGAUUCAUGGCUAUCUAAAGCUUAAGAACCACAAACCAGUUCUUUCUUACAAAUCACAUAUAUUUACAUUGUGGAUCUGGGAUACACUUAUCACAGUAGG